GAUGAACGCUGGCGGCGUGCCUAAUACAUGCAAGUCGAGCGAACAGACCAUGAGCUUGCUCCUUUGACGUUAGCGGCUGACGGGUGAGUAACACGUGGAUCACCUACCUAUAUUACUGGGAUAACUUCGGGAAACCGGAGCUAAUACCGGAUAAUAUAUUGAACCGCAUGGUUCAAUAGUGAAUGUCGGUUUUGCUGUCACUUAUAGAUGGUUCCGCGCUGCAUUAGCUAGUUGGUAAGGUAACGGCCUACCAAGGCGACGAUGCGUAGCCGACCUGAGAGGGUGAUAGGCCACACUGGAACUGAGACACGGUCCAGACUCCUACGGGAGGCAGCAGUAGGGAAUCUGCCGCAAUGGGCGAAAGCCUGACGGAGCAACGCCGCGUGAGUGAUGAAGGUCUUCGGAUCGUAAAACUCUGUUAUUAGGGAAGAACAGAUGUGGAAGUAGCUAUGCACGUCUUGACGGUACCUAAUCAAGAAGCAACGGCUAACUACGUG
rnacentral:rRNA from 1 species